AAUUUCUGGUACGAUGUGCCUUGUCCACGGUCGCAAGACCGCGAGUAUGGGAGCAUAUCUGCCAUCCUUCUAGUUAACUGGCUGUACUUAACUGUGCGGUCAGCGAUCUAGAUCUUUUACUUUGAAAAAAUUAGAGUGUUUAAAGCAGGCUUGCGCAAUGAAUACAUUAGCAUGGAAUAAUAAUUUAGGACUUUGCUCCUAUUUUAUUGGUUUCUAGGGGUGAAGUAAUGAUUGAUAGGGAUAGUUGGGGGUGCUAGUAUUCAUCGGCCAGAGGUGAAAUUCUUGGAUUCGAUGAAGACUAACUUAUGCGAAAGCAUU
rnacentral:rRNA from 1 species